rnacentral:rRNA from 1 species
GCCUUCCUAGGGGGGCAGCAGUGGGGAAUAUUGGGCAAUGGGCGCAAGCCUGACCCAGCAACGCCGCGUGAAGGAAGAAGGCUUUCGGGUUGUAAACUUCUUUUCUGAGGGACGAAGAAAGUGACGGUACCUCAGGAAUAAGCCACGGCUAACUACGUGCCAGCAGCCGCGGUAAUACGUAGGUGGCAAGCGUUAUCCGGAUUUAUUGGGUGUAAAGGGCGUGUAGGCGGGAAUGCAAGUCAGAUGUGAAAACUAUGGGCUCAAACCAUAGCCUGCAUUUGAAACUGGAUUUCUUGAGUGGUGGG